CCUACGGGUGGCAGCAGGGAGGAAUAUUGGUCAAUGGGCGGGAGCCUGAACCAGCCAAGGAGCGUGAAGGAUGAAGGCACAGAGGGUUGUAAACUUCUUUUAUAAAGGAAUAAAGUGAGGCACGUGUGCCUUGUUGUAUGUACCUUAUGAAUAAGGAUCGGCUAACUCCGUGCCAGCAGCCGCGGUAAUACGGAGGAUCCGAGCGUUAUCCGGAUUUAUUGGGGUUAAAGGGGGCGUAGAUGGGUUGUUAAGUCAGUUGUUAAAGUUUGGGGCUCAACCGUAAAAUUGCAGUUGAUACUGGCAGUCUGGAGUACAGUUGAGGUAUGCGGAAUGCGCGGUGUAGCGGUGAAAUGCUUAGAUAUCGCGCAGAACUCCGAUUGCGAAGGCAGCAUGCUAGACUGCCACUGACAUUGAUGCUCGAAAGUGUGGGUAUCAAACAGGAUUAGAUACCCGAGUAGUC
rnacentral:rRNA from 1 species